ACAAAUAUUUCUUUCUUUCCAAUUCAUAGUUUGACUUGAUAUUAGAGUAAAGAUCUGAGAGGACUUUAUUUCUUUAUUUUUUCUUCAUUGUUCUUUCCUCACAGUCCGGGGUUAGAUCUCUAUUCCUUUCUCUAAUCUAGAAGUUAGGAUUAUUUUCUGUCUUUCAGAAGGUUUCCUGCGGCUUUCAGACUAGUCAAUCAAUCUCUCUUGAUCAGUCGACACACCUUCUGUCUCAAUUCCGCUGCAUAAUCAAGUGUUUCGUUAUGGCAUUCUGUCAAUUGUUCUGCAACUACUGCAAGAACUUUGGACAUACCAAGGAAACAUGUUACAAAUUGGUUGGCUAUCCACCUGGCUACUUUAACAAUUUGAAAUCUGAUGGUAAGAUUUAUGCGUUGGUUGUUCACAGAUAUCGGGGUAAGGUUGGUGUUGCUUUACAAAUUUCUGACUUUAUUGGUGGAAAUACUUAGAUAAUUGAUUCAGGUGCCUCAGAUCAUAUGACUUAUGAUAAAUCUCGUUUUUCCCAUUUGUCACCCCUGCCUGUAGUGUUAUAAAUGCUAAUGGUGAGUCUUUCCCUGUACUGGGAAUUAGUAGAAUUCAAGUAACUCCUGCUUUAGAACUCCAUAAUAUUUUAUAUGCUCCAUCUUUAUCUCAUCACUUCAUAUCCGUACCACAAUUAAAUGCACAGUCUAAGUGCUCAGUAACAUUCUUUGCUAUGUAUGCCAUUUUUUAGGAUCUUCUCACUAGGGAAAUAAUUGGUCGUGGAUAUUUGAGGGGGAAACUGUUCCAUCUUGAUUGCAUGUAUGGUGGAGAGAAGCCAACCAAGACACCCCGAGCUGCUUUGACAACAAGUUCUGAUCAAAUUAGUGAGAGGGUUGGAGACUGAAGUUGACGGACAUUGAACGACAGCGGGUGUGUCGGGUGCACUAUUGUUGGGAGCAAAAAAGCUGCCUAGAUCUUCGCGUCCUCUCACAUUGGUUGCUACUUAUUCACUUGCGCUUAACUCCGGAGCCUGUUAUGAUUCGUACGAACAAAAGAACCACCGAAGUUCUUAAAAAAGCGAUGGCUGACAUUGGCGGGAUUAAGGACUACGUCAAUUUUAUGAUUGACGAGGAGGCCAAGGUGCAAAAACAGACUGUUGAUCCUAAAUGAGGGAGAUAACGACUGCGGGGGAAGCGAAGAUUUUGGCUGCUCCGCUACACUCGUAUAGCGCUAAUCUGAAGAAGUGAAGAAGAAAGGGGGCAAAGGAAAGAAUGUGGCGGAGGAGAGUGAACAAGAGAACGAGGAAGAUAUGGGGUUUACCCUGGAGGUACCCGCUGACAAUCACAGGAGAAGGCGACAACUGUUGUCGGGGAGGCAGAUAUGACGGUGGGCGAAGGUGAGAGGGAGAGAAGAACAAAAGCUGGGGCCGACAUUGGAGGGUCAAAACAUGUCGGUUCAAAGGUUGUUGGCAGUACUGGUGGGGAUGUUGGCGGUCAACUAGUAGGGGGAUCCGGCGUACCGCAGAAGAGGAAGAUUGUCGCCUCUACCGCUCCUUCAGUGUAAACCCCAUGAAAUUCCGAACAUCACUUUUUGACGGAAUAAUUUUUCGUGACCUUUGUUUGGUCAAAGACUUUUGAAAAUAGUUUGGGCUUGGGCCUUGGGUCCAAGAAUAGCAUAAGGUUAGAGUCCAAAAUUUACUUUGGACACCCAACAGAUGGAUAUGCUAGUGAACCUAGCCCAAUAAGUUAGUUGAC